rnacentral:rRNA from 1 species
AUUGAACGCUGGCGGCAUGCUUUACACAUGCAAGUCGGACGAGUGGCGAACGGGUGAGUAACGCAUGGGGACGUACCUGGUAAUGGGGGAUAACUGUCCGAAAGGAUAGCUAAUACCGCAUACUAUUCGAUCGGCCGAUGUCUGAUUAGCUGGUUGGCGGGGUAACGGCCCACCAAGGCGACGAUCAUUAGCGGGUCUGAGAGGAUGAUCCGCCACACUGGGACUGAGACACGGCCCAGACUCCUACGGGAGGCAGCAGUGGGGAAUUUUGCACAAUGGGCGCAAGCCUGAUCCAGCCAUGCCGCGUGUAUGAAGAAGGCCUUCGGGUUGUAAAGGACUUUUGUCAGGGAAGCGUUACCUACAGAAUAAGCACCGGCUAACUACGUGCCAGCAGCCGCGGUAAUAC